UACGGAGGGUCCAAGCGUUAUCCGGAUUCAUUGGGUUUAAAGGGUGCGCAGGCGGACCGAUAAGUCAGUGGUGAAAUCCUACAGCUCAACUGUAGAACUGCCAUUGAUACUGUCGAUCUUGAGUAUAGUUGAAGUGGGCGGAAUGUAUCAUGUAGCGGUGAAAUGCAUAGAUAUGAUACAGAACUCCGAUAGCGAAGGCAGCUCACUAACCUAUAACUGACGCUCAGGCACGAAAGCGUGGGGAGCAAACAGG
rnacentral:rRNA from 1 species